GGGGAAAAAAAACAUGGAGAACCCACACAACAACGAGGGCUACAUGCUAUUUAUUUCAGCAAGGUGCCUAAACAGGUGAUUAAGUCUACAUUUUCUGGCCUCCUGAUGUGAGAAGUAAUACUGAUGUCGACUCUGGAGAAUGGAGGCAUGGUGAAGGUUCCUCUGGUGAGCGCCUGCCCUUUGGUGACCUUGUCCAUCUGAGGCAUCUGCGGCUCAGUGGAGCGUUUCCUGGCCGUCUCAUGCUCUAUCAGUCCCAAUGAAGGAACACAGCACCAGACCGGACCCGCAUGGCAAUAAGGGGUGCUGGAGUCAACCCGAUCCGACAGCCUAGCUCACCCCUCUGGUCUAAGGGUCAACGCUGGGGUCAUUCAGCACCUAGAGUCACCCUGGGUAAUUCUGGAUGCACUCAUGAUAUGAAGACUCCCUUGAUGUCCUUUCGAUUGGCAUUAUAUGCAAGGACAGGUUUAAUCAAAAGGGAACAGGAGUCAUUCUGCCCUCGGUUCCUGCUGAAGACAGCCAUCAGACACAACAGGGUGAUGCUGGGUACAGUUGCCAUGGAAAUCCAAGUUCGUAGACCACAUGCCACAAGGUUCAGUGGCUCAAAAAAUCUCAAAUGAACUGAUGCAACAAUCUGCACACAAUUAACUCUCGCACUGCUUUUUCAGCUGUUUGCUUUGUAAAUGAAUGCCUUCUAUUUCAGUUCUGUUCCC
ensembl:lncRNA